rnacentral:rRNA from 1 species
CUACGGGACGCAGCAGUGGGGAAUAUUGCACAAUGGAGGAAACUCUGAUGCGGCAACGCCGCGUGGAGGAUGACACUUUUCGGAGCGUAAACUCCUUUUAUAUAGGAAGAAGAUGACGGUACUAUAUGAAUAAGCGCCGGCUAACUCCGUGCCAGCAGCCGCGGUAAUACGGAGGGCGCAAGCGUUACUCGGAAUCACUGGGCGUAAAGAGCGUGUAGGCGGAUUAAAAAGUCAGAAGUGAAAUCCUAUAGCUUAACUAUAGAACUGCUUCUGAAACUCUUAAUCUAGAAUAUGGGAGAGGUAGAUGGAAUUUCUGGUGUAGGGGUAAAAUCCGUAGAGAUCAGAAGGAAUACCGAUUGCGAAGGCGAUCUACUAGAACAUUAUUGACGCUGAGACGCGAAGGCGUGGGGAGCAAACAGGAUUAGAUACCCUAGUAGUC